AAAACCGACACAGGUAGUCGGGUCGAGAAGACCAAGGUGAGCGAGAGAACUCUCGUUAAGGAACUCGGCAAAAUGACCCCGUAACUUCGGGAGAAGGGGUGCUGAUCGCAAGAUCAGCCGCAGUGAAUAGGCCCAGGCGACUGUUUAUCAAAAACACAGGUUUCUGCAAAAUCGUAAGAUGAAGUAUAGGGGCUGACGCCUGCCCGGUGCUGGAAGGUUAAGAGGAUGGGUUAGCGCAAGCGAAGCUCAGAAUUGAAGCCCCAGUAAACGGCGGCCGUAACGAUAACGGUCCUAAGGUAGCGAAAUUCCUUGUCGGGUAAGUUCCGACCCGCACGAAAGGCGUAACGAUCUGGGCACUGUCUCAACGAGAGACUCGGUGAAAUUAUAAUACCCGUGAAGAUGCGGGUUACCCGCGACAGGACGGAAAGACCCCAUGGAGCUUUACUGUAGCUUGAUAUUGGGUGUUUGUACAACUUGUACAGGAUAGGUAGGAGCCGUAGAAGUCGGGACGCUAGUUUCGACGGAGGCAUCGGUGGGAUACUACCCUCGUUGUAUGAACACUCUAACCCACGCCGGCAAUCACGGCGGGAGACAGUGUCAGGUGGGCAGUUUGACUGGGGCGGUCGCCUCCUAAAAGGUAACGGAGGCGCCCAAAGGUUCCCUCAGAAUGGUUGGAAAUCAUUCGCAGAGUGUAAAGGCAUAAGGGAGCUUGACUGCGAGACCUACAAGUCGAGCAGGGACGAAAGUCGGGCUUAGUGAUCCGGUGGUUCCGCAUGGAAGGGCCAUCGCUCAACGGAUAAAAGCUACCCUGGGGAUAACAGGCUUAUCUCCCCCAAGAGUCCACAUCGACGGGGAGGUUUGGCACCUCGAUGUCGGCUCAUCGCAUCCUGGGGCUGUAGUCGGUCCCAAGGGUUGGGCUGUUCGCCCAUUAAAGCGGUACGCGAGCUGGGUUCAGAACGUCGUGAGACAGUUCGGUCCCUAUCCGUCGCGGGCGCAGGAAAUUUGAGAGGAUCUGUCCUUAGUACGAGAGGACCGGGAUGGACAUACCGCUGGUGUACCAGUUGUUCUGCCAAGGGCAUCGCUGGGUAGCUAUGUAUGGAUGAGAUAAACGCUGAAAGCAUCUAAGUGCGAAACUCACCUCGAGAUGAGAUUUCCCACUCCUUUAUGGAGUUAAGACCCCUGAGAGAUGAUCAGGUAGAUAGGAUGGAAGUGGAAGUGCUGCGACGCAUGGAGCGGACCAUUACUAAUCGGUCGAGGACUUAAC
rnacentral:rRNA from 1 species